GGUUAUUAAUAUUGAUGUUUCUGUGUCUGAUCCUCAUGAACAGGACAUCUGACAGCUGGAGACAUGAUGUGUCCACAUAUUUAUGUCCAUAGAGUUUAGAAACACCAAUAUUUCACUAAAGUUUAAUGACAGAUUUUUUUCCUCCGUC